GGCAUAUCAAGAUGCUGAUUAGACAGCAUGAUUAUUGCACAGGUGUGCUUUAGGCUGGCCACAAUAAAAGGCCAUUUUAAAAUGUGCAGUUUUAGUGUAUUGGGGGAAUCCAGGGGUUCCGAAAAGCAGUCAGCAUCUGGUUUGACCACGAUUUGUCUCGCAGUGAAACACAUCUCCUUCGCAUAGAGUUGAUCAGGUUGUUGAUUGUGACCUGUGGAAUGUUGGUCCACUCCUCUUCAAUGGCUG